GCCUUUUUCAAAAUGUGGCGGUGGCAGGGAAGGUUGUCUGCUCCAGAGGCUUCCCUAGAGUGAAGAGCUCUACUAUGUAUGCUUUAUGCGGCAGAAGGAGUGCUUUGGAGGAGUUUUUAAAUUUGUUUUUUUUUUAAAUCUUAUCGGUUUUAAUUGUAGCAAUGAUUCAAGAAACGUUAGUAGGUGCCCAUAACUUCGGUGGUGGAGAUCCAAAAGUGAACAAGACAGUGUUCUGGCUGCUAAAUUCUUCUUAACUGGUUAUGCCUGGAGACCUUCACUUGGUUCUGUGCCAGCACUGCCCAUGAACUUCAUAGACUGUGAUCUUUGCUAAGGCCUAAAUGAAUGAAGGUGCAGGACCGGAAGCAGAAGACAGAAAGUGGAGACCAGAUGUUUGAAGCUGGGUAAAGGCAGGGAUGGAGCAGGAACCGAGGAACAAACCUUGGAACUAGGUAAGAAGUUCUCUCUAUGACAUUUCAUUGAGUAGUAAAGGGAGAGCCAAAGCGCUGUGUUAUUGGGACAGCUGUUUGUUGUAUGGUGGGCUGUUUGACUGAAAGGUCAAGUCACAAGGUCAAGUUCACCACAUCUCAGGGCGAUUUCUGCUUUUAUGAACCAGUCUUCACACCAGCAAGAUUCCUUGGCACCUCAAGGUUUGAAGAACAACUACACAACAAAAUUCACUCUAUUCUGGAUGAUGAUGGUCUCCCAACUCAGGUUUAAAGGGCAAUCACUUUCAAAUUAACUGGACAAUCACUCUCACUCUGCCCCAGAGAAUCACUUUUGAAACAUCAAAACACCUAUUUUGGCUCCCUUUUAUGGUACCUUGUCAUUUAAAUCAUACAAAAUGUUACAAAUACAGAACUGUCCAUGUAUGUUUUUAAUAGGGUCAGCGAUAUUAAUGCAGCAGCAGUGUAAGCAGAGCAUUUUAAGAAAUUCUUCCGGUCCUUUUGGAAUUCAGCUUAACAGACAUGUAUUGACAUAACUAACUUGUUCAAUAUGUCUUUCUGUAAGUUAUAAGUGAGGAGAAAGUAAAGCUUUCCAUUAAACUAACAGAUGAAAUUUUUGUAUUAGGGAUAAUGUACUAAUAUGAUACACACUAAUAGGAUAUAUAUUCCAAAGUGCUGUUACAUCAUUUAAUGCAAAGUUACCUCCUACUGGGAACUAAAUAUUAUUUUACAGAAAAUAUAAAUAAUGUAAAGACUUUCUGGGCACUCAGUAAUAACCUGGGAUGUGAAAUAACUUGAUUUGUGGCACUGGCCAUGUACAAUAUCUUUUUGUUGAAGAUGAUUAUCAGAAUUCUAUGGAAAAUGUAUUGUCAGGGUUGUAGAAUGGACGAUUCCUGUUAUGAUUCACUAGGGAACAAGCUUUUUUUUUAAAAUUUUUUUUAUUAUACUUUAAGUUUUAGGGUACAUGUGCACAACGUGCAGGUUAGUUACAUAUGCAUACAUGUGCCAUGUUGGUGUGCUGCACCCAUUAACUCGUCAUUUAACAUUAGGUAUAUCUCCCAAUGCUAUCCCUCCCCCUCCCCCCACCCCACAACAGGCCCCGGUGUGUGAUGUUCCCCUUCCUGUGUCCAUGUGUUCUCAUUCUUCAAUUCCCACCUAUGAGUGAGAACAUGCAGUGUUCGGUUUUUUGUCCUUGCGAUAGUGUGCUGAGAAUGAUGGUUUCCAGUUUCAUCCAUGUCCCUACAAAGGACAUGAACUCAUCAUUUUUUAUGGCUGCAUAGUAUUCCAUGGUGUAUAUGUGCCACAUUUUCUUAAUCCAGUCUAUCAUUGUUGGACAUUUGGGUUGGUUCCAAGUCUUUGCUAUUGUGAAUAGUGCCGCAAUAAACAUACAUGUGCAUGUGUCUUUAUAGCAGCAUGGUUUAUAAUCCUCUGGAUAUAUACCCAGUAAUGGGAUGGCUGGGUCAAAUGGUAUUUCUAGUUCUAGAUCCCUGAGGAAUCGCCACACUGACCUCCACAAUGGUUGAACUAGUUUACAGUCCCCCCAACAGUGUAAAAGUGUUCCUAUUUCUCCAUAUCCUCGCCAGCACCUGUUGUUUCCUGACUUUUUAAUGAUCGCCAUUCUAACUGGUGUGGGAACAAGCUUUGUAAAUGAUUGUUUUUGUUCUUAGUUGUCCUCUAAAUAAACUAGAAAGGUAGAAA
ensembl:lncRNA HCCS-DT HCCS divergent transcript